UACGUAGGGUGCGAGCGUUGUCCGGAAUUAUUGGGCGUAAAGAGCUCGUAGGCGGUGUGUCACGUCGGCCGUGAAAAACCUGCAGCUUAACUGUGGGCGUGCGGUCGAUACGGGCAUCACUGGAGUUCGGCAGGGGGAGACUGGAAUUCCUGGUGUAGCGGUGAAAUGCGCAGAUAUCAGGAGGAACACCGGUGGCGAAGGCGGGGUCUCUGGGGCCGAUACUGACGCUGAGGAGCGAAAAGCGUGGGGGAGCAAACAGG
rnacentral:rRNA from 1 species